rnacentral:rRNA from 1 species
CCUACGGGAGGCAGCAGUGGGGAAUAUUGGACAAUGGGGGCAACCCUGAUCCAGCGACGCCGCGUGAGUGAAGAAGUAUUUCGGUAUGUAAAGCUCUGUCCGCAGGGAAGAAGAAAAUGACGGUACCUUAGGAAUAAGCCGCGGCUAACUACGUGCCAGCAGCCGCGGUAAUACGUAGGAGGCAAGCGUUAUCCGGAAUUACUGGGAGUAAAGGGAGCGUAGGCGGUUGAGCAAGUGUGUAGUGAAACGCCGGGGCUCAACCUCGGUACUGCUGUGGAAGCUGUUGAACUGGAGUGCAGGAGAGGUAAGCGGAAUUCCUAGUGUAGCGGUGAAAUGCGUAGAUAUUAGGAGGAACACCAGUGGCGAAGGCGGCUUACUGGACUGUAACUGACGUUGAGGCUCGAAAGCGUGGGGAGCAAACAGGAUUAGAUACCCUUGUAGUC